rnacentral:lncRNA from 1 species
AUAACGAGUAUAGGAAAGUAUAAAAUCAUUCAAAGAGGGCUACAGGUGGUAUCAGGGAUUAUGGAGUUUGAAAGCAAAAGGACUGUUUUUAUAUUCAGUCUUGUGCAUGUAGAAUGGGAAAGGAAAAGAAAAAAAAAAAAAAAAAAAAAAAAAAAAGCAGCUGCUUCAGUGUUAGAUUCUCUCCCAAAAGCAAGCAAAUGGACUUGAAAUCCAUGUCUGUGGUGUAAAUGCAUGUAGGAUCUGUGUCCCAAAUAAAUACAUCACCUACUUGAACAGAUUACUACAGAUACAGACAAACCAUUUUACAGAUAUUCUGGCUCCAAGGCUUUCUAGGAGGACAACAAAGGAAGAUGCAGGAGAAAAGACACCUAAGAGAUGAUUACCUACUUACUAGCCUAUGUUACAUAUGGAAGGCUCCUGUUUCACACAGAUGGAAGUGGAAUUUGCAAAGCCAUCAAGCACCAUGCCCUUUACCAACAUUACGCUAUUUCAAACACCUGUGCUAACCAGCUAACCUACUGUGAAAAUGCACACUAUUCUUCAGCCUUUCAAAUUUUUCAUUUGUUGCCCAUGGUGAGGAAAAGUGGAGGUGAAGUGGCCGCAUACCAGUCUACAGAAUUAAGAAGAAAAAAAAAAAAAAACAAACAAAAAAAAUGAGACAAUGGAUUUUAACUCCUAGAAAGACCUUUUGAUAAUCUGCCAGAAAGGUACCCUGGAGCUUCUUCACCUGUUGAUCAAUGUAUCCUUGCUUCCACAUUGAUAUUUAAUCACUUUCUAAUGGGACGGGGAGGAACUUUAAAAUAUAAUCCCAGUGAAGAGUGCUGUGAAGAGCUUGUGCUCACAGUUUCAGUUACUUUCGCACUGUAAACUAAGAUGAAUGUAAAGGCUUGCUUGUUUUAUAAAAUCUAAGCAACCCUACCCCAUAUAGGGAGAGCACAUAAGAGGAAAGGCAAAAGAUGGUUCAUGAACAUAAAGCACAUGGCAAUGCUAUCAAGCACAUGGAGUUCCACAGUAAACUAUGAAGUGCUAUCAGAAAAAAUAACUCAGCUUUAAAGGACACUGGAUUAAGCUAUCAGUUUGGAGGAAAUAGUAGCUUUAGUGACAGAAAAAGAGACCAAAGAAUCUCAGUUAACUGCUGGCACAGUAGGCUAUAAAGUGACCUACAGAGUCUCAGCAAGAGCAUACUGGAAUAAAUGAACAGUGAAUCAUUUUCA